AUUGAACGCUGGCGGCAUGCCUUACACAUGCAAGUCGAACGGUAACAGGUCUUCGGAUGCUGACGAGUGGCGAACGGGUGAGUAAUAUAUCGGAACGUGCCCAGUCGUGGGGGAUAACGCAGCGAAAGCUGUGCUAAUACCGCAUACGAUCUAUGGAUGAAAGCGGGGGAUCGCAAGACCUCGCGCGAUUGGAGCGGCCGAUAUCAGAUUAGGUAGUUGGUGGGGUAAAGGCCCACCAAGCCAACGAUCUGUAGCUGGUCUGAGAGGACGACCAGCCACACUGGAACUGAGACACGGUCCAGACUCCUACGGGAGGCAGCAGUGGGGAAUUUUGGACAAUGGGCGCAAGCCGUGAUCCAGCAAUGCCGCGUGCAGGAUGAAGGCCUCGGUUGUAACUAGCUUUGUACGUAACGAAAGGAACUGUUAUACUGGCGUCAUAGUACGUAAGAAUAAGACACGACUACUAC
rnacentral:rRNA from 1 species